AUUGAACGCUGGCGGCAGGCCUAACACAUGCAAGUCGAACGAGUGGCGGACGGGUGAGUAAUGUCUGGGAAACUGCCUGAUGGAGGGGGAUAACUACUGGAAACGGUAGCUAAUACCGCAUACCAUCAGAUGUGCCCAGAUGGGAUUAGCUAGUAUGUGGGGUAACGGCUCACCUAGGCGACGAUCCCUAGCUUGUCUGAGAGGAUGACCAGCCAAAAUGGAACUGAGGAACGGUCCAGAUACCGAAGGGAGGCAGUAGUGGGGAAUAUUGCACAAGUGGCGCAAGCCUGAUUCAGCCAUGCCGAGUGGAUGAAGAAGGCCUUCGGGUUGGAAAGUACUUUCAGCGGGGAGGCGUUACCCGCAGAAGAAGCACCGGCUAACUCCGUGCCAGCAGCCGCGGUAAUAC
rnacentral:rRNA from 1 species